rnacentral:pre_miRNA from 1 species
GAUUUUAAUUGAAAAAGUCAUCAACAACAAAGUUGAAUAACUCAUCAAGAUCUAAAACUUUUAUUUUUGUUAUUUCUUCAUCUGAUGAAAUGUUAGUAAUAUUAUUCACAAAUUUUACAUAUAUGUGUUAUAGUUUAUAAAACCAGAUAAGAGAUAUGACAAUUUUGUGAACAAUGUUACUAUCACUUUGUCGUAUGAAGAAAUGACCAAAAUAAAAGUUUUAAAUCUUGAUGAGUUAUUCAACUUUGUUGUUGAUGACUUUUUCAGUUGAUAUC